GCUCUCAUGGCGUAGUUAUCUCGCGUUUGCCUUGCACGCGGGAGACCCGGGUUCGAUUCCCGGCGGGGUCA
rnacentral:tRNA from 1 species